CCGCCUCCUCCCGGUGGCGCCGGGGCCGCUCUGUGCCGGAGCCGCGCCGGGGGCGUGAGCGGGGUCGGAGCGGCGCUUGAAGGGCCGCUUCCCUCUCCCCGUGUCGGGGUGAGUUGGCAACCCGUGCCUUGCUGUGCGCUGCCCUGUGCGGGCUCGCUGUGUCUCCGGGGCAGCGAGGCUGCAAGAAGAUUUCCAUCUGGCUUGCUGACAAGUCCAAGGAAGGCAGCACAAGUGAAGACACAUGUGCUGCCAUGGUGAACGAGAAGCACAAUGGCAGCCUGCUGGUGCAGCUGGGGCCCAAGCUGCAGGCGUACCCAGAGGAGCUGCUCCGUCAGCGGCGAGGCCACGCCGGCCGGCCGGAGUACCUGGUGCGGUGGAGCGUGGUGAGCCUGGAGGAGAGAGCGGCGGGA